UCAAUAUGUUUUGUACGCCACUGGUCAGUGUAUGAGACACCUGCCUUAUCUUCAUGGGGAGGGAAAGCACUGCUCAAGGAUACUUGUUUAAUUAUUUUGGGAACUGCACCUAGUCAGUCAGUGUGUGCAGAACUCUUACCCCCAUCCUUAGGAGGAGGGGGGACAUUGAUUAUAGAAACUUUCCUAUUGAAACUGCAGGCGGCAUUGCUCGGACAAAAUUGGAAAUUUGAAAAUGCAUUGCCUGGUGGGGGAGGGGAGAGUGAGCCUGGCCAGUUCGUCCCCUGCCCACAUGUAAUGCCCAAAAUUUUGUAUAAAGGAAGGGGGAGAUCUCAGAGUUGGUUAGAGCUCAGCCGUGGGAUAGAGCGCGCAUCACCCGGCACUUUCUCGGGACUUACGUGUUGGUCUCCUGCCAGGACUGAAAAGGGCCCCCCAGUCUAAGAGUGAGGCAUCAGCGGAUCCCAUCCGGCAGAGUUUCUUCCUUCUUGGCAUCAGAAGCAGUCUCACCGAUUGAGAAGGGGGCGAUCAUCUUGGAGCAUCUUUAGUAAUCAACUCAUUUCAACUUGCUGUAGUGGCCAGUGUAAACAGAACCAGACAUGCUCUUGUUUAUUGUGGACUGGCAAAGGUUUUGAACAAAAAUGAUACAUAAUGGAUCAGCUAGAAGCUGUCUGUCUGUCCUGAUGUUACCUCCCUCCAAUUCCAAGUGCACACAACCCGAAUUCCCAGGACAGUGUUGACCUCUGCCUUGUGUGACAGCAUGCUUAGGGCUCACAGCAAAGGGGCCUGUGGAGGUUAAGGGCCAUGCUCAAGGGCCCAUGGACACGUGAUUACUCAACCAACACCAGGCUUGAAUGGGUCACCUUUUGGUUACAGGCACAGAGGCUUUGCCUGCUGAGCCACAAAUCACCCUCUUCAAGUUGCUCUAUGCUAUUUCUAUGGGUAUAUCAGUAAGGGACACAAACCUGUAUUCGUUUCCAUGCAGAGAUGGGUAAAACAAAAGUCCAGACCAAGAUUUUGUUUCAACCAACCAGUUGAGUACUUUUCAUUGAAUCUUUAUGCUCAAAUAGUUGGUUGUAAGAAAAUCUUAGUCUGGACUUUUGCUUUCUGGACCUGCACUACCCAUCUCUGCAUGACCUAAAUUACCAACCAUGCAAGAUGUGACUGUCAUUCUGGAUUCUGUUUCAUUACUGUAAUAAUAUUCAAAGAGAUCUCCAUGAAUGAUUUCGAGCCAGGAAUGUAUGAGUUGGAUUUUUGUUUGACAACAUUGGGGCGAAUGAUGCUGAGCGUCUUCUCUCUUAAGGCUGAUACUGUAUUAUACGCCUGAAAUGAGGUUAAGUUCAGGAACUCCUGCUAUGGUGAGCAACCCUCAUUACUAGAUUGCUCUUCAUUCUUUCAUACUGCAGUCCCUUUCCUUCACACAAGGGAGGUUGCUGUCUCUCUAGAUCAUUUCAUCCAGGGACUUCAGACGACACAUGUAAAUGAGUGACAUUAGCAUACUGCAUCCUCUGCACAAAGGGUGAUGGCGGGUCGCCGAAUGUUAAUAUCACUCCUUAACUAAUGCCAAAGUUAAUUAUGCCCUUGAAUGGACUUUUCGGUCCUGAAUACAAAAGGAUACAACUGACAACUUUUUUUUUUUUAAUAAAUUCCUAUAUAUCUAUACCAUUAUAGCUUAACUACCUUAACAAAUAAAAAUCACCUUUUGUGGUGGUUAUUUCUUUCUUUUAAGAAAUGUAACACCUGAACAGGGAAUGUAGGAGGUGAAAUUCAAAGGGUUGAUUUAUAUUUAUAAAUAUAUUAUCAGGUAAUGUCAUGGUUUUGUUUCAGCUGAAGGUGGGUUUUUCCUCUGUUCCAGAUCUUUCUGUCCUGCUGAAACUUUCGUUUUUCCAUUCCGUGGUUUUAUCUUGUGUUGAAUGGAUCUGACAUGCUAUCCCAUCCCAUCCCAUUCCAUCCAAGCCUCCGUAAGGGCUUCAGGUUCAUUCAUUUUCACACACGCCUCGUAUUGAACAGCAGUGUAAGACAGUGGCAGAGCAAAGAAACCGACAGAUGACUGAACUGACACGCAGAUGGCUGAAUUUCGAAAUGCGCAAGAGAUGAGUAGUUCAAAAGCAAUGACAUGAGAAAAAGAUCUGGCCCAGGGCAUCACUGAGCUCCUCGUCAGGCUGAGGUGCGACCUGGCAGCGUCAGAUGGACCGAAACAUAAUGUCCCAGAGGUGAUCUACUGGACUUAGGUCAGGUGAGCGUGG